rnacentral:tRNA from 1 species
UGGGGUGUAGCUCAGAGUAGAGUACUUGCCUGAUAUCCAUGAGUUCUGGGUUUCAUCCCAGCACCAAAA